rnacentral:rRNA from 1 species
AUUGAACGCUGGCGGCAGGCCUAACACAUGCAAGUCGAACGGUAGCACAGAGAGCUUGCUCUCGGGUGACGAGUGGCGGACGGGUGAGUAAGGUCUGGGAAACUGCCUGAUGGAGGGGGAUAACUACUGGAAACGGUAGCUAAUACCGCAUAACGUCGCAAGACCAAAGAGGGGGACCUUCGGGCCUCUUGCCAUCAGAUGUGCCCAGAUGGGAUUAGCUAGUAGGUGGGGUAACGGCUCACCUAGGCGACGAUCCCUAGCUGGUCUGAGAGGAUGACCAGCCACAAUGGAACUGAGACACGGUCCAGACUCCUACGGGAGGCAGCAGUGGGGAAUAUUGCACAAUGGGCGCAAGCCUGAUGCAGCCAUGCCGCGUGUAUGAAGAAGGCCUUCGGGUUGUAAAGUACUUUCAGCGGGGAGGAAGGGAGUAAGGUUAAUAACCUUAUUCAUUGACGUUACCCGCGGAAGAAGCACCGGCUAACUCCGUGCCAGCCGCCGCCGUAACAC